GACGAACGCUGGCGGCGUGCCUAAUACAUGCAAGUAGAACGCUGAAGGAGGAGCUUGCUUCUCUGGAUGAGUUGCGAACGGGUGAGUAACGCGUAGGUAACCUGCCUGGUAGCGGGGGAUAACUAUUGGAAACGAUAGCUAAUACCGCAUAAUAGUAGAUGUCGCAUGACAUUUGCUUAAAAGGUGCAAUUGCAUCACUACCAGAUGGACCUGCGUUGUAUUAGCUAGUUGGUGAGGUAACGGCUCACCAAGGCAACGAUACAUAGCCGACCUGAGAGGGUGAUCGGCCACACUGGGACUGAGACACGGCCCAGACUCCUACGGGAGGCAGCAGUAGGGAAUCUUCGGCAAUGGACGGAAGUCUGACCGAGCUACGCCGCGUGAGUGAAGAAGGUUUUCGGAUCGUAAAGCUCUGUUGUAAGAGAAGAACGAGUGUGAGAGUGGAAAGUUCACACUGUGACGGUAUCUUACCAGAAAGGGACGGCUAACUACGUG
rnacentral:rRNA from 1 species